AGGAAUCAAAGGAUGAUCCUGUAGAUUCUGAUGCUGAAGGUGAUGAUGAUGAAAUUGACAAAGAUGCUGAUAUUACAGAAGAGAGUGCACAUGAUGAGUUGUAGGGAGGGAGAGCACCGUUGUGGUUUUCUGCUGACAAUUCACUCUCUCGAGAUCUCUGAAUUUUUUUCUUGCUUAGUUUAUUUGUAGCUUUUAGUUUUGUUUG